rnacentral:rRNA from 1 species
GUGGGGAAUCUUAGACAAUGGGGGAAACCCUGAUCUAGCCAUGCCGCGUGAGCGAUGAAGGCCUUAGGGUUGUAAAGCUCUUUCAGCUGGGAAGAUAAUGACGGUACCAGCAGAAGAAGCCCCGGCUAACUCCGUGCCAGCAGCCGCGGUAAUACGGAGGGGGCUAGCGUUGUUCGGAAUUACUGGGCGUAAAGCGCACGUAGGCGGAUCAGAAAGUCAGAGGUGAAAUCCCAGGACUCAACCUUGGAACUGCCUUUGAAACUCCUGGUCUUGAGGUCGAGAGAGGUGAGUGGAAUUCCGAGUGUAGAGGUGAAAUUCGUAGAUAUUCGGAAGAACACCAGUGGCGAAGGCGACUCACUGGCCCGUUACUGACGCUGAGGCGCGAAAGCGUGGGGAGCAAACAGGAUUAGAUACCCCAGUAGUCC